rnacentral:rRNA from 1 species
AACGAACGCUGGCGGCAGGCCUAACACAUGCAAGUCGAACGCCCGUAGCAAUACGGGAGUGGCAGACGGGUGAGUAACGCGUGGGAACGUGCCCUUCGGUUCGGAAUAACUCAGGGAAACUUGAGCUAAUACCGGAUACGUCCGUAAGGAGAAAGAUUUAUCGCCGAAGGAUCGGCCCGCGUCGGAUUAGCUAGUUGGUGAGGUAACGGCCCACCAAGGCGACGAUCCGUAGCUGGUCUGAGAGGANGAUCAGCCACACUGGGACUGAGACACGGCCCAGACUCCUACGGGAGGCAGCAGUGGGGAAUUUUGGACAAUGGGGGCAACCCUGAUCCAGCCAUGCCGCGUGC